ACUGCCGCGCGCCACGGGUCCGGGCGUGAUGGCGGCGCUGGGCGGGGACGGGCUGCGUUUACUGUCGGUAUCGCGGCCAGAGCGGCAGCCCGAGUCAGCCGCGCUGAGCGGCCCGGGCUCGGGGCUGUGCUGCUGGGUGUCUGUGUUCUCCUGCUUCAGCCUCGCCUGCUCCUACGUGGGCAGCCUCUACGUGUGGAAGAGCGAGCUGCCCAGGGACCACCCCGCUGUUAUCAAGCGGCGUUCCACCAGUGUCCUGGUAGUGUCCAGCUUGUCCCCUCUUUGCGUGCUGCUCUGGAGGGAACUCACUGGCAUCCAGCCAGGCACAUCACUGCUUACCUUGAUGGGCUUCAGGCUGGAGGGCAUUUUCCCAGCAGCGCUGCUGCCCCUGCUGCUAACUAUGAUCCUUUUCCUGGGUCCACUGAUGCAGCUCUCUAUGGAUUGCCCUUGUGACCUGACAGAUGGGCUGAAGGUUGUCCUGGGUGAGUCUUCAAGACUGAGGAAAAGCCCCUCGUUCUUGGGCCCGCUGCCUCACAGACAUGCGCUGGCUACGAAACCAAGUUAUUGCACCGCUGACAGAGGAGCUGGUGUUCCGGGCUUGCAUGCUGCCCAUGCUAGCGCCGUGCACGGGUCUGGGCCCUGCUGUGUUCACCUGCCCACUCUUUUUUGGAGUCGCCCAUUUUCACCACAUUAUUGAGCAGCUGCGCUUCCGCCAGAGCAGUGUGGGAAGUAUCUUCGUGUCUGCAGCGUUCCAGUUCUCCUACACCGCUGUCUUCGGUGCUUAUACAGCUUUCCUCUUCAUCCGCACAGGACACCUGAUAGGGCCGGUUCUCUGCCACUCUUUCUGCAACUACAUGGGCUUCCCUGCAGUGUGUGCAGCCCUGGAGCAUCCACAGAAGUGGCCACUGCUGGCAGGCUAUGCCCUCGGUGUGGGACUUUUCCUGCUUCUGCUUCAACCCCUGACAGACCCCAAGCUCUAUGGCAGCCUUCCUCUUUGUAUGCUUUUGGAAAGAACAGGGGCCUCAGAGACCCUACUGUGCUCCUGACGAUCACUCUUUUGUGCACUCCAGUGAACUCUGACGGGCUCUCCAGCUCCUCCUUACCAAGGAAUACUGCAAGGGAGGGACUGGCUGGGGUCCCCGAGAUCUCAGGAAUUUUUGUAGGGGAUUGAAGCCAGAGCUAGUUGAAUCCCAGGGACCAAGAGAAAGGAGCAGAUAUCCAAAGGGUGCAGCCCCUCUCGAAGGGGGGAUGAGCAGCAACUGGAGGUGAGGGGACAAGGGCAAAUCCUAGGAGCUGUGGACUGACGCUUCCUUGGCUCCUUUGCGUCCCCCCUUUCCCCUUGAAAAGCUGCUCGGUGGGUUUAUUUAUAAAACCCCUCCUCUCAACUUCCCAGGGUUUUCUCAUUGUCUUUUUGCAUCAAGACUUUGUAUUGGGAUAUUAAAGAGAUUUAACUUGGGU